rnacentral:sRNA from 1 species
UAGUAGGCAAAUUUGGAAACGAAAAGGC